GUACUUCCUUCGAUAACGUUACAAUUGGCAAUCUUGCAUUAUGACUAAUUCCGCUUAAUCUCUCUGAAAAUGGUCCCACUUUUUCUCCACAGCCAUUAACUUCACUUCAUUUUAUCUUUUUUUGUAUUAUUUAUUUUGCCAGAGUCCUCAGCUUCUGAUGCCACAAUAUCUUCCCUUGUAUUUUCGUUAAUAUUGAAGCCAUUUCCUUCCAACAUAUUUUCUCCCACAUUAAUUUCCUCUGACUCUUCCACUCAGAGCAGUUUCGAUCCAUUUUUCUUUUGGCUUCUUAUCCUAAGUCCUAGCCAUCCUCUAUAGUAUUUGGUCGACAUUUUACUAUUGUUUCAUUCCCUUUUUAUGUGUCCAAAAUGGAAAUAGUUCGAUCAUUGCCUCGUUUCCUUCAUAUAUUGUAGCCUUGGAGGUCUUUCUAUUUUAUUAACUUUUUCGAUAAGCUUUUCCAAAUAUUUCUUAAGGAGGUUGGCUGCGAUUUUUUAUUCUAAUUUUGAAUUCUUUUUCACUUUUGGUCCUCGUAAAUUCUCUACAGUCAAUUAUUGCGUUAUAUGUAUUUCUAUUGCACUCUUUGAGCUGUAUUACUUAGGGUAGUGUCACUUUUUUCUGUAUUUUUUCUAAGCAUUUGAGGUUUCUUGUAGUAAAAUCGUGUCUUAUAGGAACUUGCUCUCCAAAGUCAAUUACUUCUGUGGUAUAUAUUCCAAAUGUGUCUAGCAAUAUAAAAUAAAUUUUUUGGAUGCAUUUCACCUCUUUUCACUCGUUCUCCAUUAUCUUCCUGAACCACAUAGGGAUUGAAUCUUCUCCAGUGAGUGCUUUUUUUUUUUUUUUUUUUUGACAUUUUUGGUGUUUCUCAUUCAGUUCUUCAAUGUCAUCGUUUCCUUCCCACCUCAUUGCGCUUUUAAUUUUGCCUGUUACUAUUUCCGAAUAUUUUUUUAGAUAAAGUAUAUUUGUCGUAUGUUCCCUUUCUUCAUCACUCGUUUCAACCCUGGAAUUCCUUAUGGGUUGCUCGUAUUCUUCCUUCGUUUCAGACCUAACUUCUAUUUCCUCGAUCCUCCUCCACAUAUUUGGGGACCACGGUGGGGAUUUUCCGAUGUUUUUUCUACCAUUGGUCUUGCUGACUCUUAACAAGAAACUUAGUUAUGCUUUAAUUUACAUUUUUUUUCGGCCCUUUCUUCACUUUUCCUGGUCCCUAGAGAUACUUUUUCCCCUUCUGUCCCAUUCCCGAAGACAGGAGAGAGGUUUUAUCAAAAAGAAAUAGUUUAUGAUUGAAUUGCACUUAACAAUUAACCCGUAGAGUUCUAAAAUGUAGAAUGAAACUUCAUAUUCAUUGACAUCAUCAUGGAUAGAUAAGUUAGACAAAGCUCUAAGCAUGACCAUAUAUAUAAAUCCCCUAGUGCCACACUCAAAAAGUCUCUGUUGUGCUAUCCAAUGGCCUCUAAGAGCUUAUGACUAUUGUCGGUCCUAAUAUAAAUACAUCUGGAUAUAUGAUGACUAAUUAAAAGUUAAAAAUAAAUACCUUCAUUUUGAAACAAAAUAUCAGGGGUAGAAUGUUUCUUAGUAGAGGAGUGUGAGGAGACUUGUUACGAAUGAGACAUGUCAUACUGCCCAUAAAUUUUAGACCAAUCAAUGGCUAUUAAUUAUUGCACUACAUCAAAAAUACUUUGAAAUUAUGUGUCUUAGGUAACUACCUGUCAUGUUCCCCGGGCGUUGAACUAAGUAUCUUUUCAAUUGUAAAAUUUAUGACAGUUUAAAAAAAAUGAUUUUUUUUAACAUGUGUCCUCACUCUCCCUAUACAUAUAUAUAUAUUAAAUUUGGCUAUUCUCAUUUUGAAUUGGAAAUGGUUUAUGAGACAAAAGGAUUCGUAUGAUUAUCGUUGCAAGUCAUAUCCUAUUUAAUUUAAACUAUUUCUUGAAAAUCUCAUGAAUGAGCAUGGCGUUUUUAAUCCUGGUACUUCAAAGUUGUUGGUUUUCUAAGUCAUUGGAGUAAAUACAUCUUAUACCAGAAAUAUUUUAGUAUUAGGAACUAUGGAAAGGCAGAGUGACGUAUGCCAUAUAUGUUACGAUCAUUUGGAUAACUUUGGCAUUCCUGUUGAGGGUGUUUGGCAGUUCCAUAAAAAUCAUUUGGAUUGUGUUUAAAUUGAAAGAAAAGACUACAAUACACGAGUUAGUUAGGCUAAAUAUAAUAAGGAUGAAGCUCAAUUGUUGACAAUGGACUUUUCGGAUGCUAAGUCCGUUCCAUAUUCAUAUUUUCACAGAGGAAAGACUCACUUCUUAUCAUUAUAUCAAAUCAAUUUAUUUGCUGUUGAAGAUGAAGGAGCAGGGACAUCGAUCAUCAUAUACAUCUUUGAUGAAGUGGAACAAAAAACUUGAAAAAAGGCUUCUAAUUAUAUUGAAUCACAUUUAUACCAUGAAAUAAUGUAUUAUAAUUUUUAUCCUUGACCUGAAAUUCAAUACAACUGUGAGGUCAGUACAAGAUUUUCAUUAUUAUGUUAUUAUGGGCCUUUUAACAUACAUUGUAAUGCUGGGGCAGUGGAUAAAAUCUAUGUUCAUAUUCUAGUAGAUAAAUUUUUCCCAAUUUUCUAGCAACCACAGCUUUGGAAUGAUUUAAAACCUUUUAAAAAUCAGCAAAAUAUAGAUUGCAUUGAUGACUUAAUAGAAGUCGUAAAUAAUACGUCUGCAAAAUAAGAUGGAGUUAAAUGGUUUAAUUGGAAAAAAAUUCAAUCUUCAUAUUCUUCUUAUUUUUGUGAAGAAGCUCUUAUAACAGAAGAAAGGAAUACAGCUCCUCCGAUCAAUUGCGAAAAAACGAGGAAAACAUUUAUUUAAUGCCUUAUGGCGCACUCUUUAAGCCUUUUACCUACAUCAAUCUCGUCUACCUCAAGUCUUCUUUCUACCCAACACUCUGGUUCAACCCGGAAUCCGUUUCUUACCUCAAGUCCUCCUAUAUUUAAUCAGCUUCCUACCUCAUCAUCAUCAAGAGUUAAAGAAAAUUGCUUCAAUUAUAAUAUGUGUUUUUUACAUAAUUAUAUACGAUAUUUAAAUAAAAAAGAGAGAAAAUGUAGAUACUGUCAAUUUUGCUUAAACAAAUAUUUAAAAUAGUUUUGUGAAAAAUUUCAAUUAGUUGAAUUACUGUUAUAUCGAAACUAAUGUUAAAAUUACUAAAAAUAAAGGAAGUCAAAUUA
rnacentral:lncRNA from 1 species